rnacentral:rRNA from 1 species
UACGUAGGGUGCAAGCGUUGUCCGGAAUUAUUGGGCGUAAAGGGCUCGUAGGCGGUCUGUUGCGUCGGGAGUGAAAACUCAGGGCUUAGCCCUGAGCCUGCUUCCGAUACGGGCAGACUAGAGGUAUGCAGGGGAGAACGGAAUUCCUGGUGUAGCGGUGAAAUGCGCAGAUAUCAGGAGGAACACCGGUGGCGAAGGCGGUUCUCUGGGCAGUAACUGACGCUGAGGAGCGAAAGCGUGGGGAGCGAACAGG